rnacentral:rRNA from 1 species
GACGAACGCUGGCGGCGUGCUUAACACAUGCAAGUCGAACGGUAAGGCCCUUCGGGGUACACGAGUGGCGAACGGGUGAGUAACACGUGGGUGAUCUGCCCUGCACUUCGGGAUAAGCCUGGGAAACUGGGUCUAAUACCGGAUAGGACCACUGCCUGCAUGGGUGGUGGUGGAAAGCUUUUGCGGUGUGGGAUGGGCCCGCGGCCUAUCAGCUUGUUGGUGGGGUGAUGGCCUACCAAGGCGACGACGGGUAGCCGGCCUGAGAGGGUGACCGGCCACACGGGGACUGAGGUCCGGCCCAGACUCCUACGGGAGGAAGCAGUGGGGAAUAUUGCACAAUGGGCGCAAGCCUGAUGCAGCGACGCCGCGUGAGGGAUGACGGCCUUCGGGUUGUAAACCUCUUUCAGCACCGACGAAGCGCAAGUGACGGUAGGUGCAGAAGAAGGACCGGCCAACUACGUGCCAGCAGCCGCCGUAA